rnacentral:rRNA from 1 species
GGGGCGUCAGCGACCUGCAGUCGAGCGGUAGAGAGAAGCUUGCUUCUCUUGAGAGCGGCGGACGGGUGAGUAAUGCCUAGGAAUCUGCCUGGUAGUGGGGGAUAACGUUCGGAAACGAACGCUAAUACCGCAUACGUCCUACGGGAGAAAGCAGGGGACCUUCGGGCCUUGCGCUAUCACAUGAGCCUAGGUCGAUUAGCUAGUUGGAGAACCAAGGCGACGAUCCGUAACUGGUCUGAGAGGAUGAUCAGUCACACUGGAACUGAGACACGGUCCAGACUCCUACGGGAGGCAGCAGUGGGGAAUAUUGGACAAUGGGCGAAAGCCUGAUCCAGCCAUGCCGCGUGUGUGAAGAAGGUCUUCGGAUUGUAAAGCACUUUAAGUUGGGAGGAAGGGCAGUUACCUAAUACGUGAUUGUUUUGACGUUACCGACAGAAUAAGCACCGGCUAACUCUGUGCCAGCACCCGCGGUAAUACAGAGGGUGCAAGCGUUAAUCGGAAUUACUGGGCGUAAAGCGCGCGUACAGUGGUUUGUUAAGUUGGAUGUGAAAUCCCCGGGCUCAACCUGGGAACUGCAUUCAAAACUGACUGACUAGAGUAUGGUAGAGGGUGGUGGAAUUUCCUGUGUAGCGGUGAAAUGCGUAGAUAUAGGAUGGAACACCAGUGGCGAAGGCGACCACCUGGACUGAUACUGACACUGAAGGUGCGAAAGCGUGGGGAGCAAACAAGAUUAGAUACCCUGGUAGUCCACGCCGUAAACGAUGUCAUCUAACCGUUGAAAUCCUUGAGCUUUUAUUGGCGCACCUAACGCAUUAAGUUGACCGCCCUGGGGAGUACGGCCGCAACGUUAAACUCAAAUGAAUUGACGGGGGCCCGCACAAGCCGGUGGAGCAUGUGGUUUAAUUCAAGCAACGCGAAAAACCUUACCAGCCUUGACAUCCAAUGACUUUCUAGAGAUAAAUUGAUGCCGUUCGGGUAUCAUUUGAGACAGGAGCCUGCAAUGGCCUGUCGUCCAGCUCAUGUCGUGCAAAUGUCUACGGUAAGCUCCGGUAACGAGUCGCACGCCAUUGUCCCUUAACUUUACCAAGCACACG